GUGGGGAAUCUUAGACAAUGGGCGCAAGCCUGAUCUAGCCAUGCCGCGUGAGCAAUGAAGGCCUUAGGGUUGUAAAGCUCUUUCGUGGGGGAAGAUAAUGACUGUACCCCAAGAAGAAGCCCCGGCUAACUCCGUGCCAGCAGCCGCGGUAAUACGGAGGGGGCUAGCGUUGUUCGGAAUUACUGGGCGUAAAGCGCACGUAGGCGGACUGGAAAGUCAGGGGUGAAAUCCCGGGGCUCAACCCCGGAACUGCCUUUGAAACUCCCAGUCUUGAGUUCGAGAGAGGUGAGUGGAAUUCCGAGUGUAGAGGUGAAAUUCGUAGAUAUUCGGAGGAACACCAGUGGCGAAGGCGGCUCACUGGCUCGAUACUGACGCUGAGGUGCGAAAGCGUGGGGAGCAAACAGGAUUAGAUACCCGUGUAGUCC
rnacentral:rRNA from 1 species